AGCGAACGCUGGCGGCAGGCUUAACACAUGCAAGUCGAACGCACUCUUCGGAGUGAGUGGCAGACGGGUGAGUAACACGUGGGAACGUACCUUUCAGUUCGGAAUAACACAGGGAAACUUGUGCUAAUACCGGAUACGUCCGAGAGGAGAAAGAUUUAUCGCUGAAAGAUCGGCCCGCGUCUGAUUAGCUAGUUGGUAGGGUAAUGGCUUACCAAGGCGACGAUCAGUAGCUGGUCUGAGAGGAUGAUCAGCCACACUGGGACUGAGACACGGCCCAGACUCCUACGGGAGGCAGCAGUGGGGAAUAUUGGACAAUGGGGGCAACCCUGAUCCAGCCAUGCCGCGUGAGUGAUGAAGGCCUUAGGGUUGUAAAGCUCUUUUGUGUGGGAAGAUAAUGACGGUACCACAAGAAUAAGCCCCGGCUAACUUCGUGCCAGCAGCCGCCGCCGUAAG
rnacentral:rRNA from 2 species